AUGCAAGAAUGGGAGGGAAAUUACAAGUGGGAAACUAAUUCAAAUUUAUUGCAAAGUUUUUAUCACUACAAAUACAAGAUCAUUACAUCAAGAAUUUGCAAAGAAAACAAUUAUGGAAAGGAUCUAAUCUUAAGUAUUUCUUCUCGUUAUGUUGCUUUUCAAUCUGAAUCUUUACAAUCUUCAAGCUUCACAUGA